GUCUUGAUUUCCUAUUCUGAGAGGCUAUUGCUCAGCGGUUUCCGUGGCAACAGUAAAGCGUGGGAAUUACAGAUAAAUUAAAACUGUGGAACCCCUUUCCUCGGCUGCCGCCAAGGUGCUCGGUCCUUCCGAGGAAGCUAAGGCCGCGUUGGGGUGAGACCCUCACUUCAUCCGGCGAGUAGCACCGCGUCCGGCAGCCCCAGCCCCACACUCGCCCGCGCCAUGGCCUCCGUCUCCCAGCUUGCCUGCAUCUACUCUGCCCUCAUUCUGCAGGACUAUGAGAUUCAUUCUUAUAGAAGAGCAUCAGAGGAAGAUAAAAAAAGAAUCCUCAGUGUCAGGCCCCUGAGCCCAAGCUAAGCCAUCAUAACCCUGUGACCUGCACAUAUACAUCCAGAUGGCCUGAAGCAACUGAAGAACCAUAAACGUGAAAUAGCCAGUUCCUGCCUUAACUGAUGACAUUCCACCAUUGUGAUUUGUUCCUGCUCCACCCUAACUGAUCAAUUGAUCUUGUGACAUUCCUUCUCCUGGACAAUGAGUCUCAGGAGCUCUCACCAAGCACCUUGUUACCCCCACCCCUGCCCACAAGAGAAAACCCACGUUAACUGUAAUUUUUCCACUACCUACCCAAAUCCUAUAAAACUGCCCCACCCCAUCUCCUUUUGCUGACUCCAGGUGAUUAAAAAACUAUUGCUCACACAAA